UAGAAUUCUUCCUAGGUGUUACUGAGGUAAUGGACUCCACAGGAUUUCCGAGACUCCUAGGAUAUGGAACAGAAUGGUUUACGAGCACACUCUCUGAAGACUUGCUUGAGGCCAUCUCCUCAACUUGCUGGUUCUGCCUCAGGAGGGCUGAGCUGGAGCCCGAGACUCUACAUUUCUAAUGAGCUCCAGAUGAUAUCGCACUGCUGAUCUGUGGACCACCCUUUGAGAUGUGAAGGAAUUGAAAACUCAGAGAAGACAAAAAGAAAUAUUCCCAGCAGAAAGGAUACGUGAAAAAGCCUCCCGCCGGUUCUAACAGCAUCUGGAUGUGACAGGGAAAGGCACUCG